rnacentral:rRNA from 1 species
CAGCACCUCAAGUGGUCAGGAUGAUUAUUGGGCCUAAAGCAUCCGUAGCCGGCGCUGGAAGUUUUCGGUUAAAUCUGUACGCUCAACGUACAGGCUGCCGGGAAUACUGCAGCGCUAGGGAGUGGGAGAGGUAGACGGUACUCGGUAGGAAGGGGUAAAAUCCUUUGAUCUAUUGAUGACCACCUGUGGCGAAGGCGGUCUACCAGAACACGUCCGACGGUGAGGGAUGAAAGCUGGGGGAGCAAACCGGAUUAGAUACCCGUGUAGUCC